GAUCGACCCGAUUUAAGCAACGAA
rnacentral:siRNA from 1 species